CCAAUAGCGUAUAUUAAAGUUGCUGCAGUUAAAAAGCUCGUAGUUGAAUUUCGGGAUCAAUAUGUUGGUCGUGCCUCGGUACGUACUAGCUUAUUGGUUUCUCCCUUCUGACGAACCAUGAUGUCAUUUAUUUGGUGUUAUGAGGAAUCAGGACUGUUACUUUGAAAAAAUUAGAGUGUUUAAAGCAGGCUCACGCUUGA
rnacentral:rRNA from 1 species